rnacentral:tRNA from 1 species
CAGGAGUUAGUUUAUUUCAAAUAUUAGUUUUGGGGAUUAAAGAUGGUCAUCUUCAAGAUCACUUUUGA